CUACGAGCGGCUGCAGUGAGGAAUAUUGCACAAUGGGGGGAACCCUGAUGCAGCAACGCCGCGUGGAGGAUGACGCAUUUCGGUGUGUAAACUCCUUUUAUAUGUCAAGAAAAUGGCGGUAGCAUAUGAAUAAGCACCGGCUAACUCCGUGCCAGCAGCCGCGGUAAUACGGAGGGUGCAAGCGUUACGCGGAAUCACUGGGCGUAAAGGACGCGUAGGCGGGUUGGAAAGUCAGGUGUGAAAUCCUACAGCUUAACUGUAGAACUGCACUUGAAACUUCUAAUCUAGAGGAUGGGAGGGGGAGAUGGAAUUAGUGGUUUAGGGGUAAAAUCCGUAGAUAUCACUAGGAAUACCUAAAGCGAAGGCGAUCUACUGGAACAUUACUGACGCUAAGGCGUGAAAGCGUGGGGAGCAAACAGGAUUAGAUACCCGAGUAGUC
rnacentral:rRNA from 1 species